CAGCAGCCGCGGGAAUACGAAGGGUGCAAGCGUUACUCGGAAUUACUGGGCGUAAAGCGUGCGUAGGUGGUGGUUUAAGUCCGUUGUGAAAGCCCUGGGCUCAACCUGGGAAUUGCAGUGGGUACUGGGUCACUAGAGUGUGGUAGAGGAUAGUGGAAUUUCCGGUGUAGCAGUGAAAUGCGUAGAGAUCGGAAGGAACAUCUGUGGCGAAGGCGACUAUCUGGGCCAACACUGACACUGAGGCACGAAAGCGUGGGGAGCAAACAGGAUUAGAUACCCGGGUAGUCCCUGUCUCUUAUAC
rnacentral:rRNA from 1 species